AGUGAACGCUGGCGGUAGGCCUAACACAUGCAAGUCGAACGGCAGCACAGUAAGAGCUUGCUCUUACGGUUGGCGAGUGGCGGACGGGUGAGGCAUACAUCGGAAUCUACUUUUUCUUGGGUGAUAACGUAGGGAAACUUAUGCUAAUACCGCAUAUGAUCUACGGGAGAAAGCAGGGGAUCUUCGCACUUUUGCUGUCUCAUUUAGCUGGUUCCGGAUUAGCUAGUUGGGGUGGUAAAGGCACACCAAGGCAACGAUACGUAGCUGGUCUGAGAGGGUGAUCAGCCACACUGGAACUGAGACACGGUCCAGACUCCUACGGGAGGCAGCAGUGGGGAAUAUUGGACAAUGGGCGAAAGCCUGAUGGAGCCAUGCCGCGUGAGUGAAGAAGGCCUUCGGGUUGUAAAGCCCUGUUGUUGGGAAAGAAAAGCAGCAGAUUAAUACCCCGAUGUUCUGACGGUACCUAAAGAGAAAGCAACGGCUAACUUCGUG
rnacentral:rRNA from 1 species